rnacentral:misc_RNA from 1 species
AACGCACCUUGCGCUCCCUGGUAUUCCGGGGAGCACGCCUGUUCGAGUGUCGCGAAAUUUCUCAAGCUUUGGAUGGCUUUGUUGUCUGUCCUCAGCCUUGGUUGUUGGGCUUUGCCGUGUCCUUCAUUUGGGACGGCUGGCCUUAAAAGCAUUAGCUGAUCCUCGUGUGGCACUGGUUCUACUCAGCGUGAUAAUAGUCUGAUCGCUGAGGACAUCUUUUGGGAUGGCCAGUUCUCAUUUGGGUUGCUUCUAAACCUGGUUUUGCAGAUUCUUCAAUCUGUGUUCCACUUUUCAGCUUUGACCUCGAAUCAGGUGGGACUACCCGCUGAACUUAA